rnacentral:misc_RNA from 1 species
ACUAAUAAAUAGUAAUAACGUACUGUAAAUAAUUUUUACUUUCUCUGAUUAAUUUGAGUUGACAAUAUUAAAUUUAUAAUUAGAUGUAUAAAUGCUAAAAUUUUCGUUGACCGUUAAUGUAGCAUAUUAAAAAAUUGGCGGGAAUGAAAAGGUCUUUGACUGAAGUAAAUGAACUUGCAGAAAUUGCUGGUGUGACUCAAAGAAAAGGAUCAAUUCAAAGUCUAUAUUACUCAACUACAUGGAUGAAAGAAGAUUAUAAACUUAUAGAGUUAUCAAAUGAGUUAAUUAAAGAGUUAAAGGAAGGCGACAAUUUAGUUAUACGAGGUGAUGUUGAAGAUGAAUGUGUGAUCUGCACUAGAACUCAAACUUUUGAACUUAGAGCAGCAGAAACAACAAACUCAUUACUUGUUUUGCCUAGAUUAAGUACACCAAAGUCUAAAGAUUUUUCAAAAGAAUUACCCCUGGUUGAAACACCUGUAUUGAGUUGUUUCAACAGUUACUAUGAAGUUCGUCCCACAAGACCUAAAAUGCAGCGAUUGCGCAAAUACCUUACAGUAAAUGCUUAUUCUGGUUACAGAGACGACGAUGAAAAAGAAAAAUUUACAACAGAUGAUUUGCUUGAUACAAUCCAAUGCAGUGAAGCUGAGCUUACUCAAGGUUUAAUAGCCUGUCAAGCUUUACAAGUCGAUGGUUACUGGAGAACGUUAGAAAUAAAUUAUCAAGAGAAGGCUUUUUCUCAAAUCCUUGCUCUUGUUGAAGAAAAAGGAUGGAGCUGGAAAGAAAUACCUACUGAAGAAACAUGUGAAAUACUUAAGGAGCUCUAUCCAAGUUUUGUUCUCCUUCAUUGUUUCAAGGUAUAUGGAUCUGAAAUAAAGAAUGGUUUUUGUUUUUUAAGCGAAGACAAAGUUUGUCGAUAUUAUGUUGAGUACAUACUUAGGUCUGCACCUGGAAAGUUUAACUACAAUGAGUUUUUAAGUGCUUGGUCGCAGAGUGUGCCAGAUGGUAUGAAUGUCAAAUCUGAUCAUUUACUUGGAAUAGCAUUAACUGAUUUAAAAUAUCAACCCCCAUUGGUAUGGCAUUUUCCUGAACAUAAUCUUCCAGAUGAUCCUGCACAAAGGUUUAAUUUUCUGUUUAAAACAAGAGAAAAAUGGACUUACAAAGAAAUCGAACCUUAUCUAAAGAGGUCAGUAUGUAUGCGUUAGUACAAAUAAUGUUCUCACUACAUUGUGGUUGACAGACUGUGGCCCAAAAUCCUGAGUAAAAAGUUUAAUUAAACAUCGUUGGAUCAAAUGAAAAUCUGAACACUCUUUUACUGAAAUUCACUCGCUCGUCGACUGCUGACAACGGAGAAAAAGUAUACAACUCAAAGAGACCUCUUGUAUAACAUUUUCUGAAGCAAAAAAGCAUUUGCAAUUUA